ACCUGGAUAGCUCAGUUGGUUAGAGCAUGGUGCUGAUAAUGCCAAAGUUGCAGGUUUGAUACCGUUUGGGACA